ACACGACUACAUUAGAUACCCGGGUAGUCCUAGCCGUAAACGAUACUCGCUAGGUGUCGGCCACGGUGCGACCGUUGUCGGUGCCGUAGGGAAGCCGUGAAGCGAGCCACCUGGGAAGUACGGCCGCAAGGCUGAAACUUAAAGGAAUUGGCGGGGAGCACCACAACGGGUGGAGCUUGCGGUUUAAUUGGAUUCAACGCCGGAAAACUCAUCGGGAGCGACAGCAGUAUGAUUGCCAGGUUGAUGACCUUGCUUGACAAGCUG
rnacentral:rRNA from 1 species